rnacentral:lncRNA from 10 species
AAAAGCUGUCAGAACACUCAAGACACACAAUAAAAGAUAGUCCUAUCCAGGAUAAGAUAAGCAGGCAAUCUUUUGCCCACAUCCUAUUAUGCUGUUCUUAUUAUAUUUGCCAGUGGCCCAAGAAAUCUUACAGGUGGACCAUAGGGCACAUGUCCAAGGACCAGUGUGGGGGAGUUAAUGCUACAGCUCUGGACCAGGAAUCUGAAAAGAAUAUUUUCUUCUCCAACUCAUCACUGGCACAAAUCAGCAACCCUGUACAAAGCUCUUUCUCAACCUCCAAUUUGAGAACUAUACUUCCUAACUAUUCAAAAUGCUCUCACAUCAGUCAGGAUAUUUUUUCCCCUAACAUAUCCCUGGGAAGGGAUGAAGUCAACCAUUACCAAACAUUUAUGAAUACAGAAACAGAAAGAGAUCCUGUGUCCCUCUAGAGGCACUGGACUGCAAUCAUCUGGCAACACUACCAUUUUUGGACUCUCUGGAAAUGGCAGAGAUUUUCUGAAGGAAGGACCCUAAAGGCAGCUGUCCUUUAUUGAGCAUCUGUGAUGUCCCUAGCGCUGCUUGUCUCAUUCAAGCCUCAGCACUACCAAAUGAAGAAGAUGUUAUGUGUGCUUUCAUAGGUCACUACAAUCCAGUGCCAACACAGCAUUGGGUGGAUCCCAUGAGAUUUCAAAUUCCACAAAGAAAAAAUCUACUUGGUCCUCAACAUUACUUCCAAGAUUGCUGGAGUUCACUGUACCAAUAAAAACUCAUGGACAAGAAAACAGAAACUAGAAGUGAAGGACUUCAAUAUCCAAGAAGAUGGUGUAGCCUCAAGAUAGAAAAAGCCCACACUUCUGAAACAUCAUUUGAAAGGCUGCUGAAGACCUACAUCACAUGAGGUUAUCAAACUACAGCCCACAGACCAAAUCCAGCCCACCAUCUCUUCUGAUGGCAGCUGCCACAUCAUGAGGAUAUCAAGACAUCCUAUGGUGAGGCCUGUGUGACAGGAAACUGAGGCCUCCUGCCAAAAGCCCUGCGAAUGAGCCAUCAAAAAAGUGGAUCAUCCAGUCCCAUUCAAGCCUUCAGAUGACUGCAGCCCUGUCCAACAGCCUGAUUGCAACCUCAUAAGGGGCACUGGGCCAGAACUACCCAGCUAAGCAACUCCCAAAUUCCUGACCUACAGAGUCUGUGAGAUAAUAAAGGUUUGUUGUUUUAAGCCAUU